rnacentral:rRNA from 1 species
CUUUCAACAACGGAUCUCUUGGUUCUGGCAUCGAUGAAGAACGCAGCGAAAUGCGAUAAGUAAUGUGAAUUGCAGAAUUCAGUGAAUCAUCGAAUCUUUGAACGCACAUUGCGCCUCUCGGUAUUCCGAGGGGCAUGCCUGUUCGAGCGUCA